CUCAGCACCAACAGCAGGGCCAGGAGGCCCCCAACUGCAUUUCUGGCAAGUACCCGGGUGCCACUGAUGCGUGCUGGUCCAGGGACCGCACUCCAGAGUUUCUAAAGCACACAGAAACCCGGUCUGGUUGGACGUAAGCCUUGCAGCGGCCUGGGACACGUGUGAGACACGGAUGUCAGGCCCGUUUUCCAGAUGAGGACAGGAAGGCCCAAUGAGGUCACCCAGCUGGUGAGUGCGGGGCAGGGGCAGGGCUCAGGUCUGCUGGUUACACUCUGCCUCUGUUGCCUCUCCGCUCGUGAGCACAUCACUGCGGUUCCACGCGGGUAAGGGUACGAGCUUCCUGUGCACGGCAAACAGCCUCCGAGCUGAACGGGGUGGCUCCCCAGGGUUACCAUGUCGGGGUUCACGCGGCACCGUCUAACACAAUGGACUCUACCAUCACUGACCCACUCACUCGGCACUCCAGGACACCCCAAGCGCCUACUACGCACAGGACUCUGCACUCAGUGCCGGAGGCACAGUGGGAGCCACACACGCGAAGUUUGGCUCUUGAGGAGCAAACACUCUAGGACUUUCUGUGAUGAUGCAAAUGUUAUGGAUCACGCUGUUCGAUGCGGCAGCCACUAGCCACAGGUGGCUCGUGGACACGGGCUAUGUAGCUGGUGGGAUUAAGGCACUGAAUUUUUCAUUUCAUCCGGUUUUCAUCGUCAUAGCGGCUACCGUAUUAGCACAGUCUAGAGAGCGGAAAGAGGAAGUGAAGACAUGAACCAGGAACAUAAAUACCAGGCAGAGGAUUCAGAUGGGAGCAUGGGGCAGGGAGAGAGUGGGCAGGAAGGUUCCUGAGCUUCCUGACUUACCCCCACAUUCUGGAAGGAUAGGGAAGCAGGCGUGGGGACGUGAGUUUCGAAGGACAAGGAGGAGGCAGCCACCCCGAGCCCUGAGCUAAGGCCUGGGGCACAGCACAUGCAAAGGCCCUGUGGCAAGAAUAAGAGGGUGGCAGGAGCAGACUACAGCCAGCGCAGCUCGGGGAUCGGGACGGGGGUGGAGCUCAAGACAAGCAGAGAGCGGGUAGGCCAGGGUAAGAGCGGUGACUGUUCGUUCUGGAGCUACAUUCUAGAAGCUACUGGAAGGUCUGAGCAGAGGCGUGGGUGGCCUGGUUUGGAGGAGCGAGCGCUUUGGCCUCAGUGUGGUGGAGGGCAGGGAGGGAGCAAGCAGGCCAGCCAGGCAGAGAUGCGGUGGCGAGACGCCGUGGUGGCCUGGAGGACGACAAGAAGCCAGCUCGUUCGAGAUCCGGUCCGAAGUCGAAUGGCAGACUAGCGCGGGUUGGGAGAGCGGACAGGCGUCGAGGGCAACUCCGAGGUGUUUGGUCUCGAGCAGCCGGGCGCCUGGCAGUGCCUGGGACUCCGAUGGGAGGGCGGGCCUGGGGUGGAAGGCCACGCUGCCUCCCGGAUACGCGGACGCACGUGGUGGGCCUGGCCACGCGACGCGAACGGAGUCCCACUCGCGGUGCUGAUUCAACGCGGGAACGCGCACCUCGGGAAGAAGAGCCAGGCCCGUCUCCGGACAACAAGGGCCGUUUCACGAGCGGGUCUGGGUGCGUGCAAAGCUGGGGCUCCUCCCCACGGCCGCGUCAGCUCAAAACGCGCAGACGCCCACCAGGAGGACGGGCUCCCGGCCGGCGGCGGGUGCUCCCAGCCCCUCCUCACCACCUGGCCCCCGCUCGGCCCUGGUCAGGGUCUCCAUCGCCCCAUCUCGCUCGCUCUCUCUCUCUCUCUCUCUCGCCGCUUGCUUUCGCAGAUGGAAGCCUCGUGAGGGCAGCAGCUCAUCUGCACACUCAGAGUUGAGUUGAUUCCCCAGCUCACGGCUCAAGCGCCCUCGGCUCAUGAACAAAUGAACGAGCGAGAGCAGAAUAGUGAAAAAGGACACGGGUGCGGGCGUCACGCGCGGGGCAUGCGAACUGACAAGUCAUCUUCUUUCCCUUCUCUAUCCGGAACCCUGGGGCCGUGAGCCCAGCAAGAGACGGCUCCCCGAUGCCCCCGCAUCCUCCCGGCCCCCACUGGACAGCUGAGACCCAGCAGACGAGAGGAGGGCAGCAGGAAACCCAAAGAAGUGCCACCAGCAUUCAGAAAUGACUUCAUCUGCAGACCUCAUUCUAGGGCCCUUCCUCCUCCCCGUCUGCCUCGAGGAAAAGAUCAAGACACUUCACAAACAGUCCGAAAGGAAAAAAAAAGAAAAUUCUAAUGGUGGAUAAAUAUUUUAUCACAGAGACUUAAUGCAGCAGUGUUCGACUCACCCAAGCCAUCUAUCUGGAGAUAUACAACUUUAAAAGGCUCAGGCUCUUGGAGAACAUUUUAUUAAUGACCUGUCUAGUUAGGAGGAGGGGGGGGGAGUUUAGGUUCAAAAAAUGCAUUAAUACCAGCCGGGUACACGAGAGGAAGAAAGGGGUCGGGGGAAGGAAGUGUGAUAAAUUUUUAACACGCCCUUAAAAAAGUCCACACUUAGAGGAGGAACAAAUUUAUUACUAAUUAUGCAAUUAUUUCAUUUGGUGGUGUGGGGGAAGAAAAAAAAUACUUAAAAGCCUUUUAAAAAUAUUUCUAAUAAAGAAUUUACGAAUC